rnacentral:rRNA from 1 species
UUGACGGGGAGCACCACAACGGGUGGAGCUUGCGGUUUUAAUUGGAUUCAACGCCGGAAAUCUUACCGGGACCGACAGCAAUAUGAAGGCCAGGCUGAAGACUUUGCCGGAUUAGCUGAGAGGUGGUGCAUGGCCGUCGUCAGUUCGUACUGUGAAGCAUCCUGUUAAGUCAGGCAACGAGCGAGACCCACGCCCACAGUUGCCAGCGUACUCUCUGGAGUGACGGGUACACUGUGGGGACCGCCGCUGCUAAAGCGGAGGAAGGAAUGGGCAACGGUAGGUCAGUAUGCCCCGAAUAUCCCGGGCUACACGCGAGCUACAAUGGUUGGUACAAUGGGUAUCUACCCCGAAAGGGGACGGGAAUCUCCUAAAACCAAUCUUAGUUCGGAUUGAGGGCUGCAACUCGCCCUCAUGAAGCUGGAAUCCGUAGUAAUCGCGUUUCAACAGAACGCGGUGAAUACGUCCCUGCUCCUU